AUCAAAUUAAAAUCUAAAACCCAGGAAAUGGCAAUACUCAUCACAAAGGUACUGACAAAAGCCGAUAUAGAGAGUUGUUUAUCAUUCCCCACUUCUUCUAUAGGGCCAGUGCCGUUCCAAGAAGGCCAUUCCAUGGACAUGAACGUCCACGAUCAGAGCGGCCAAGAAUGGAUCUUCCCUUGCACAAUCCAGCGAAAUGACACCGUUGGGCGGGUCCUUUCAGUGGGCUGGGAGGAGUUUGCUCGUCGCAAGAAUCUUGCAGUAAAUGAUAAGGUUAUCUUUCUUGAGGAAACAAUAGAAAAUCAAGCUCCAGGAACCUGUAGGAUCAAAAUCCAAGUCAAGAGGAAAAUCAGGUUGUUUGGUAACGAUAUUUGGGCUGAUGUCUAAAGUAAUAAAAGUUUGUGCCUAUCCAAUAAUUGCUCUUGAGAAUGGAGUUUAGAGUCGUACUUUACUUGAUUUAGCUGUUAAAUAUGUAUCACUUAUUGUGUUAAAUUCGAGUUUCACUUUUUCAAUUCUCUAAAAAACAGAGCAUGUUCUAUACUAAACGAAUAUUUGUGGUUCUUUUUUUUUUAUAAGUGAAAAAUAUUAUUAAUGAUACGUGUGGU
rnacentral:misc_RNA from 1 species